GUAGGUGGCAUGCGUUGUCCGGAAUUAUUGGGCGUAAAGCGCGCGCAGGUGGUUCUUUAAGUCUGAUGUGAAAGCCCCCGGCUCAACCGGGGAGGGUCAUUGGAAACUGGGGAACUUGAGUGCAGGAGAGGAAAGUGGAAUUCCACGUGUAGCGGUGAAAUGCGUAGAUAUGUGGAGGAACACCAGUGGCGAAGGCGACUUUCUGGCCUGUAACUGACACUGAGGCGCGAAAGCGUGGGGAGCAAACAGGGAUUAGAUACCCUGGUAGUCCACGCCGUAAACGAUGAGUGCUAAGUGUUGGGGGGGUUUCCCGUCCCCUCAGUGCUGCAGCUAACGCAUUAAGCACUCCGCCUGGGGAGUACGGUCGCAAGACUG
rnacentral:rRNA from 1 species